CUUUUUGCAGAUCAGUGCCUUUUUUACUUAUUGGAGAGUUUUGGUUCUGGAGAUUAUAACGAUAAACUUGAAGGCUACUUCUGUCUAGCUGCCUGUGCAUCGGCUUAUUGCAAAGUGCUUCCUGUCUAUAUCGAAGGGCUAUGGGCUCAAAUGAAGCUUGACUUGUUUAGCAGUACUCACCCCGUUGAACUGUUGCAAGCCGCUUUGGAAGCUUUGAAGUCCUGUUUGCUAGCUUUAGAGGAUGACUUGAAAUUUUUUAAUACCAUUUUGGACGAGUGUCGGCAGAGAAUAGAGCAAUUCACUAAGAAAAGUAUUGGGCGUUUACUGUGUGAACUUUGUCAAG